CAGCAGGUAGGAUUCGGUGCUUUCAGUCUUAUUUCUAGGGGUGUGUUACUUCGUGGGCAGUGCAGAAUCCAGGCUCAGCUAUAUCUGUGAGCCGUGGCUCCCUGCAGCACGGCUGGGGCUGUGCCACGAGCUGUGAUCCUGGUGAUGCAUACACAGGAGCAGCUCUUGGUGGUGUUUAACUGCAGCUCUCGGAGCUGCCCAUCAGCUUCUCCCCCGUCCUGCUGCAAACCCUUUCUCCAUGCAGCUCGGGACCAGCCUGUUCCGCGAGGAGCCCCUGCCCUACCUGGUGUACCAGCCCCUGCCCUGGCAGAUCCAGUGCGUGACGCAGAGCCGCCGCACCAGCCGGGACAGCGAGAAAGGCAGGAGCUCUCGUCAGAACAGCAUCUACUCGAUUUCUGGAGAGAAAGGCAACGUCACCCCUGACGCCAGCAGCGAGGGCAGGUUCUUCAGCGACCCUUCCGAGAAGGCGGCCGUCACCAUCCAGACCCACUUCAGGAGGUACCAGCAGCAGAAGCAGGAGAAGAAGUAGCUGCCUUGCCCACGCCCUGCACCAUCCCUCCUCUUGUCUGUUGUGUUCCCCAGCCAGAUUUGUGCCCGUGAACCCGCUAGGUAGCUCUUGGUGCACGCACAGCUGUAGGUGCUCCGCUGUUGGCUGCGGGUCGGUGGGGUCCUGGUGGCUCCUUCCUUCCCCAAAUAGCACUGCCCCGUGGCCAGGGACCACCAGCAAGGGGCUGUUGGCUGGGACCUCAGCACCCAGCAGCUCUGGCACUUGUCCUUUUCCUGGUGGCAGCACCCCCAGCUGCGUGGUGGCAGGCCCUGGGGAUGCCCAGCUGAGAGCUGUUGUGCCCAGCCAGCUGCCCAGCUGGGGCUCGUUGUGCUCACAACAGCUCCACUUUGCAGCUGGAGCUGGGGUUGGAACAUCAGCUUUCUUCCCUGACCCAACAUGGUGCCUACGAGCUGGCUGGGAAUGGGGUGCCACCAGGUAAGGGGAGCAGGAGGUGUGCCAUGUGCUGGGUGUGAGCUGAUUUUUGCUUUUCUCGGGCAGCACUGGGUGUCCUGGCUUUGGAAUGAGAGGGAGACUGGUUUUUUAGCAGCUAUUUUUGAGUACUGGCUUUCCUAGUGUGCAGAGCUCUCGAGAAAGAGGGGAAAAUAAAAACAGAUAGGAGGCCA
rnacentral:lncRNA from 1 species